rnacentral:lncRNA from 1 species
CAAUGCAUUGUGGGCUACUACGAGUUUACUACAACCGGAAAACACGUGGAAUUAGUGGAAGAACUGUCAACUAAUAUAGUGUCUGGGAUUCUCAAAAUAUAUGUUUUUGUUCUGCGAAUGUGAUUAUUGUAAAAUAUAUAACAUAAUCUUUAAUUUGCAUGCUCAGAUUAAAAAAGUAUUGUUUACGGGCUUCACUAUUCGACUUUCUUUUUCGCCUUGUUAAAGUUGUUGAACAGGUUUUUUUUCCAUUGUUAUGCAUUGUACCUGUGCAAUAAUUUUACGACCUGAAACAGUGAAAUUUCAGAUGAAAUGACCACUGUCCACUAUGAAAGUUUUUGAGCUCUUUUAAACCUGUAUAAUGUCAUUCCAAAAUCAUUUCUGCCUAGAAAAACAC